rnacentral:rRNA from 1 species
UACGACUACAUAUCAGGCAUAUCAAUAAGCGGAGGAAAAGAAACUAACAAGGAUUCCCUAGUAACGGCGAGUGAAGCGGGAAGAGCUCAAAUUUGAAAUCUUAAAGGGUUCUACCUUGACGAAUUGUAGUUUAUAGAAGUGUUUUCUGUAGUGGAGUUCGGUAAAAGUUCUUUGGAAUAGGACAUCAUAGAGGGUGAGAAUCCCGUAUUUGACCGUUACUUUCCUAGCUGUGUGAUACACUUUCAAAGAGUCGGAUUGUUUGGGAAUGCAGUCCAAGAUGGGUGGUAAAUUUCAUCUAAAGCUAAAUAUUGGCGAGAGACCGAUAGCGAACAAGUACCGUGAGGGAAAGAUGAAAAGAACUUUGAAAAGAGAGUUAAACAGUACGUGAAAUUGUCAAAAGGGAAGCGUUUGACACCAGUGUUGUUUAGUUGAAAAUCAAUUCAAUAGUUUUUGAUUCUAAGUAGUAUUGACUUCAUCAGCUUGCUGCUUUCUUCUCAGAAAUUAUUGAAUGCACUUUUCAGUUAACAAGUCAACAUCAAUUUCCUUUGUUGUAAAAGGGUAAGAGGAAGGUGGCUUGCGCUUCGGCUCAAGUGUUUAUAGCCUUUUAUCUCUGCAAUCGGAGAGAUUGAGGUCUGCAGCGUAGAUCCUUCGGGGUUAGAUACAUUGGUGCUAAGCUAUAGCCUUGUAUAGACAACUUGUUGACUAUGCUCAGUCAUGUAGCUUACUCGCUGAUGCUAUUUUACCUACGCUUAGGAUGUUGAACGCGCACAGAGUCUC